rnacentral:lncRNA from 1 species
GAUGACCCCCGACCUUCCACACCACCCCAGACCCACCACAGGACUCAGCAGGUCCUGGCUGAGGUGUGUUCGUGGGACCUCGCCCCUGUUCCUGAGCAACACAAGAAGGUCUGUCACAGCCUGGCAGUGGUGUCUGGAGGAGUUGGACUCGAGUGUGAACCUGUUGGGUGAUGGACCCUGUUCGGCCUGCUGUCAGCCUGCCCACUACUGGGCAGCCUCUCCCUGCCGGCCUGCAGCCUCACAGCCUGCUACCAGUAGCCAUACAGCCUCAUACUGGCCAGCGCCUUUGCAGAUAAACAGCAACACUGCAUCGUACUGGCCAGUACCCUGGCAGGAACAGGGCACCUGAAGUCAGUGAAUCUGUCCCAUAACGCCCUGUGCUCUAUGGGCUUUGAGCUGGUCCUGAAGACUCUGCCUCUCCAAUGUCUCACUCAACUCGAUGUCUGCCAUCCGCUGUGGAACCACUGACCACCCUCCUUCAAAACAUCUCAAACACACACACACAAAUGCACACACCGACACACACACACACACAAAUUCAAAUAAAGUUAUUCUAUUGUGUACUUUCACAUUAAUUAAGCAUUGUUUGUCUAAAGAAAUGCAUAAACUAUCACAUGAUCUACAGUAAGUAUUUACUUAGUAGAGGAAAUUUGUCCAGGAAGGUACACGAUAAAGACUGCAAAUCUAAGAAAUGGAUCAGUAAAUUAUGAGGAGCUUUUAAUAGAAUUUGUUGAAACAAUUGGUUGCGUUUCUGGUCUGAGGCAGGCGCCUUGCAAGUUGAGUAAACAUUUCACAGUUUGAAAAGGAAGUUUGUCAUCCGCUUAUCUGCUGCACAACUUUGCCUUUGGUAUUCAAGCUAAGAAACGUAUUGAUAUGGUAAUUAGGAUACAAUGGUUGUAUCUUAAUUGUAUAUUUGACUUCAUGGGGAGCUAUGGCAAGAUGAUAUUUAGAGGAGCAAAUGUAGUUGUCACACCCUGAUCUGUUUCACCUGUCUUUGUGAUUGUCUCCAUUAUCCCCUGUGUAUUUUAUACCUGUGUUCUCUGUUGGUCUGUUGCCAGUUCGUCUUGUUUGUCAAGUCAACCAAUGUUUUUUUGUCUCAUGUCCUGCUUUUCCCAGUUUCUUUUUCUCGCCCUCCUGGUUUUGACCCUUGCUUGUCCUGUCUCUGAGCCCUCCUGCCUGACCACUCCACUUGACCCUGCCUGCCGUCCUAUACGUUUGCCCCACCUCUGGAUUAUUGACCUCUGCCUACCCUGACCCUGAGCCUGCCUGCCUGCCGUCCAGUACCGUUGCUCCACCUCUAGUUACUGACCCCUGCCUGCCUUUGACCUGUCUAUUGCCGGCCCCUGUUGGAUUAUUAAACCAUUGUUAAUUCGGCGUUGUCUGCAUCUGGGUCUUACCUUCAUACCUGAUAGUAGUGAUGGCUCCUCUGUAAGUAAGAUUCAUGUCAACUAGUAAUGUUUAAACUGAGAACUCAACACUGACAUAUUGGGUGAUAGUACUAUGUCUAACUGCCUGGUUAAGGGCAUACCAUGAGAUCUGGGAU